GACGAACGCUGGCGGCGUGCUUAACACAUGCAAGUCGAACGGAAAGGCCCUGCUUUUGUGGGGUGCUCGAGUGGCGAACGGGUGAGUAACACGUGAGUAACCUGCCCUUGACUUUGGGAUAACUUCAGGAAACUGGGGCUAAUACCGGAUAGGAGCUCCUGCUGCAUGGUGGGGGUUGGAAAGUUUCGGCGGUUGGGGAUGGACUCGCGGCUUAUCGGCUUGUUGGCGGGGUAGUGGCUUACCAAGGCUUUGACGGGUAGCCGGCCUGAGAGGGUGACCGGCCACAUUGGGACUGAGAUACGGCCCAGACUCCUACGGGAGGCAGCAGUGGGGAAUAUUGCACAAUGGGCGGAAGCCUGAUGCAGCAACGCCGCGUGCGGGAUGACGGCCUUCGGGUUGUAAACCGCUUUCGCCUGUGACGAAGCGUGAGUGACGGUAAUGGGUAAAGAAGCACCGGCUAACUACGUG
rnacentral:rRNA from 1 species